AGUCGAGCGAGAAGACGUAGCAAUACGUUUGUAAAGCGGCGAACGGGUGAGGAAUACAUGGGUAACCUACCCUUGAGUGGGGAAUAACUAGCCGAAAGGUUAGCUAAUACCGCGUACGCUCCUUGGACUUCGGUUCAGGGAGGAAAGCGCUGCCGAGGGCAGCGCGCUCUUGGAUGGGCUCAUGUCCUAUCAGCUUGUUGGUGAGGUAACGGCUCACCAAGGCUUCGACGGGUAGCUGGUCUGAGAGGACGAUCAGCCACACUGGCACUGCGACACGGGCCAGACUCCUACGGGAGGCAGCAGUAAGGAAUAUUGCGCAAUGGGCGAAAGCCUGACGCAGCGACGCCGCGUGGGGGAUGAAGGUCUUCGGAUUGUAAACCCCUUUCGGGAGGGAAGAUGGAAUGGGGUAACCCAUUCGGACGGUACCUCCAGAAGCAGCCACGGCUAACUUCGUGCCAGCAGCCGCGGUAAUACGAAGGUGGCAAGCGUUAUUCGGAUUUACUGGGCGUACAGGGAGCGUAGGCGGUUCGGUAAGCCCUCUGUGAAAUCUUCAGGCUUAACCUGGAAAAGUCGGAGGGGACUGCUGGGCUAGAGGACGGGAGAGGAGCGCGGAAUUCCCGGUGUAGCGGUGAAAUGCGUAGAGAUCGGGAGGAAGGCCGGUGGCGAAGGCGGCGCUCUGGAACGUUUCUGACGCUGAGGC
rnacentral:rRNA from 1 species